UUGAUUAUAGACACUUGAGCAAGUGUCAAAAAACGGAGAUUAUAAGUGGGAAUGUAAAGAGGUAAAAAGCGUCGAAAAACUUGAAAAGAAAAAAAGUAAAGUAAAUUCAAUUCAGCGGGAGUAACCGCGCCUUAAUCUAAUUUCCCUAAAACCCAAAAAUGGAAACCGCCUCCCUCACUCAGAACACAUUUUACUCGACUCUCUCUCCAAAUUAAACCCUAACCCUCAACUUCUUCUCUAAUCCCUACAUCAUUGUCUCAAAUCAGACGGAGGAAACAAGCGACACAAAUUGCAUUCUUCGUUCAGUGUUUGCAAUUCUAAAAUCAGGUCAAGAUGAUAUGUCGGGGUUACCUCGAGAUGCUUUAGGGUUGAAUACUCCUUUUGUUUCCGAGUUAGCUAGUGAACACCAUGAUGAGCAGGCAACCGAUGAGACAAUAGAAGAACCUAUUGCUGAUGUCAAAUUUAUCAUUGAUGUCGCGUGCUGCUUCUACCCGGAGAUUCCUAUAGUCGAAUUUGUCGUGGCUGCAGCUGUCGAAUUUUCUCGUGGCUGUUGAUGCUGCCCGGAGAUUGCUGUCAUCAGUAUUGCCGCGUGCUGCGCUUGCUGUGUCGAGAUUGCAGCUGUUAGAACAGUCGUGUGAUGCGCCUGCUGUGUUGCGAUGGCUGUUGUUGCCGUUGUCAUGUGUUGCCGCCUGCUGCUGUCAUUGCUGCACCCCCUGCUGUCAUCGUUGCGCCUGCAUCCGACUUUAAAUAUGCAUGGUUAUGAAACUGUGCUACUCAUUGCUCUAUGGUCUCUCCCUCUAAUGCACCCGAUCACAAAAGUUACUCUGAAUUUGGCUUAUGUGACCUACAAAAUGAUUUUAAAAGCUAAUACCUAGAUUAAAAUCAAUGUGCAACUUUAAUAUAAAUGUGAUGCAUUCAAAGAUAAACAAGCAAUCACAAAGGAGGUACAAUGGAUGGUCCGCAUUACAUGAUUUCUAUCCGUUAACAUAUCAUGCUUCUCAUGCUUAUAACAUUUCCAAAUCCCAGAUAAAGUAUUCGAGGAAUCACACACUUUAUUUAUUGGUGAACUUUUGCCGUUGACCGAAUGCUUCAAUACUUAGUCAAUAGUAUUCAUGCUUAUGAAAAUAGUGUUGUAACUUUAUUUUACUUGAAAUUGUGUUGAUAUUUUAUUUGCUAAUUCUUUUGCAGACUUUAAAGUGACAUGGUUAUGCAAAAGAGAGAUCAAUUGAAAGGGCAUCAUUUUUUUAUGGUUGAAGCUUAACAACUAUAAUACAAAUUUUGCUUUAUUGGCUAACAAUUAGCAUUUGUAUUCCCUCUUGUUUCCUUGUAAUUUUUAAAUAACAAAUAUUAUGGAUUUGAUUUUGAACAUAUCAUUGUAAUUAUUUUCACAAGGUUUAUGAAAGAUAUAUGUAGAGGAAGUGUAAUAUUUUGAACAUAUGGAACUCUUGGUUGUAUUAUAUAGAAUUGUACACAUAACUCUUGAGUUUUAAGGCA